AGGAAGUUUGGUUAUAACUAGGCAUAUUAGUAAACGAACAAAACAAAAUAUUUUCAAUAAAGAAAUAAGACUAUAUAAUUGAGACAAGAAAAUAAUGAAAGCCAGCUUAUAUAAAUGAGAUGGAGGGAAUACAUGUUAAGAAAAGGCAUAUCAAAGGGUAAAUUAAUGUCCGAAAUAAACAUGAUUAUCAAACGUUGCAAGAUUAAUGCAGGGAAAAUCAUAUACACUUUCAUCGCUCACAACCACCAUGCCCACCGCUUAUCCUUCACUAACUGGCCCCCGCCAGCCACGGAGGAGGAUGAUAUGUUUACAUUGACUGCAGUCGAGAGGACGUUGGAGAUGCUUAACAGUACGGCAACGUCACCUGAUUGCCUGGGUUCGGAAAGAGGCAUACGGUUAGGCAGCUGAGGUAAAUAGACUCUCCAUUUCCAUUGCAAGAUGUCGAUGAGGACAAUCAUGUAGAUGAGGCUACCGAGAAGUUCAUAAUGAAAUUCUACAAUGAUUUGAGGUGGUAAAAUUAAAUGCAUCGCCUUGUUUGGGGUCGUCUUAAUUAUUCUAUGUGUAAUUUUCAUAUAUAGAUCGUGUCACAUAUGUCAAGCAUUCGAGCACUUGAGGCAUGUAAUAAAAUUAUAAAGUGAAU
rnacentral:lncRNA from 1 species